rnacentral:rRNA from 1 species
UACGUAGGUGGCAAGCGUUGUCCGGAUUUAUUGGGCCUAAAGCAUCCGUAGCCGGUUCUACAAGUCUUCCGUUAAAUCCAGCUGCUUAACAGAUGGGCUGCGGAAGAUACUAUGGAGCUAGGAGGCGGGAGAGGCAAGCGGUACUCGAUGGGUAGGGGUAAAAUCCGUUGAUCCAUUGAAGACCACCAGUGGCGAAGGCGGCUUGCCAGAACGCGCUCGACGGUGAGGGAUGAAAGCUGGGGGAGCAAACCGG